GAUGAACGCUAGCGACAGGCCUAACACAUGCAAGUCGAGGGGCAGCAUGAAAUUAGCUUGCUAUUUUUGAUGGCGACCGGCGCACGGGUGAGUAACACGUAUGCAACCUGCCUGUAAGCGGGGGAUAACCCGGAGAAAUUCGGACUAAUACCGCAUAAUAUCAUCGAAUCGCAUGUUUUGAUGAUUAAAAAUUUAUUUCUUACAGAUGGGCAUGCGUAUGAUUAGCUAGUUGGCGGGGUAACGGCCCACCAAGGCGACGAUCAUUAGGGGUUCUGAGAGGAAGGUCCCCCACAUUGGAACUGAGACUCGGUCCAAACUCCUACGGGAGGCAGCAGUGAGGAAUAUUGGUCAAUGGACGCAAGUCUGAACCAGCCAUGUCGCGUGAAGGAUGACUGUCCUAUGGAUUGUAAACUUCUUUUAUAUGGGGAUAAAGUGUGAGACUUGUCUCAUUUUGCAUGUACCAUAUGAAUAAGCAUCGGCUAACUCCGUGCCAGCCGCCGCCGUAAUAC
rnacentral:rRNA from 1 species